UCCUGUGGUUAAUGAUAUGAGAAACAGAAUGCCUCUCCAGAAACCUUUUCACAUCCCAGAUUCAGAGUUCCUGAGGCAAUGGAAUUGGCUGCUUGUUGCUCAAUUGAAUUGAGGCUCUACAUUAGGAUAAUGAAAAGCUGUAGGCAGUUAGGGAGCAAUUGAAAGCCACUUGUGAAGGCCUGAGGGCCUCCAGGAAUGGGGCCCAUAUUCACUCCAUUCAGUGUAGAAAAAGCAGAAGACCAAACUAUGGAUUUAAUAGGCUUGCCUAGCUUCAAAGAUGAUUAUCAUUACACAAAGAUCAGAGCACUGGUUGGGAAAACAUGGAGCUCUUGUGCACGGGAUGGGGACAUUUGGGUGGAUGCCUCCAAAUAUUUUGAGCUCUCAAACUCUUCUAAGCCCUCAGAGC
rnacentral:lncRNA from 1 species